UUUCCGUAGGUGAACCUGCGGAAGGAUCAUUAUCGUAUAACCGAGGUGCGAGGGCUGUCGCUGACCCGAAAGGUCGUGCACGCCCGAGUGCCCUCACACACAUCCAUCUCACCCCUAUGUGCACCACCGCGUGGGACCCCCUUUGGCUUGUUCGGAGGGGGGCUUACGUUUUCACACAAACUUUGUAUGCAGUGUAGAAUGUAUUUUUUGUUUUUGCGAUCACGCAAUCAAUACAACUUUCAACAACGGAUCUCUUGGCUCUCGCAUCGAUGAAGAACGCAAC
rnacentral:misc_RNA from 1 species